UACAGAGGUCCCAAGCGUUGUUCGGAUUCAUUGGGCGUAAAGGGUGCGUAGGCGGCGCGGUAAGUCGGGUGUGAAAUCUCGGAGCUUAACUCCGAAACUGGCAUUCGAUACUGCCGUGCUUGAGGACUGGAGAGGAGACUGGAAUUUACGGGUGUAAGCGGUGAAAUGCGUAGAUAUCGUAAGGAAGACCAGUGGCGAAGGCGGG
rnacentral:rRNA from 1 species